GAUGAACGCUGGCGGCGUGCCUAAUACAUGCAAGUCGAGCGAACAGACGAGGAGCUUGCUCCUCUGACGUUAGCGGCGGACGGGUGAGUAACACGUGGAUAACCUACCUAUAAGACUGGGAUAACUUCGGGAAACCGGAGCUAAUACCGGAUAAUAUAUUGAACCGCAUGGUUCAAUAGUGAAAGACGGUUUUGCUGUCACUUAUAGAUGGAUCCGCGCCGCAUUAGCUAGUUGGUAAGGUAACGGCUUACCAAGGCAACGAUGCGUAGCCGACCUGAGAGGGUGAUCGGCCACACUGGAACUGAGACACGGUCCAGACUCCUACGGGAGGCAGCAGUGGGGAAUCUUCCGCAAUGGGCGAAAGCUUGACGGAGCAACGCCGCGUGAGUGAUGAAGGUCUUCGGAUCGUAAAACUCUGUUAUUAGGGAAGAACAAAUGUGUAAGUAACUAUGCACGUCUUGACGGUACCUAAUCAGAAAGCCACAGCUAACUACGUG
rnacentral:rRNA from 1 species